UGGGGAAUCUUAGACAAUGGGCGCAAGCCUGAUCUAGCGAUGCCGCGUGAGUGAUGAAGGCCUUAGGGUCGUAAAGCUCUUUCGCCUGUGAAGAUAAUGACGGUAGCAGGUAAAGAAACCCCCGGCUAACUCCGUGCCAGCAGCCGCGGUAAUACGGAGGGGGUUAGCGUUGUUCGGAAUUACUGGGCGUAAAGCGCACGUAGGCGGACUAGUCAGUCAGAGGUGAAAUCCCAGGGCUCAACCCUGGGACUGCCUUUGAUACUGCUAGUCUUGAGUUCGAGAGAGGUAAGUGGAAUUCCGAGUGUAGAGGUGAAAUUCGUAGAUAUUCGGAGGAACACCAGUGGCGAAGGCGGCUUACUGGCUCGAUACUGACGCUGAGGUGCGAAAGUGUGGGGAGCAAAACAGGAUUAGAUACC
rnacentral:rRNA from 1 species